rnacentral:rRNA from 1 species
GGUUAAGUUAGAAAGGGCGCACGGUGGAUGCCUUGGCACUAGGAGCCGAUGAAGGACGGGACGAACACCGAUAUGCUUCGGGGAGCUGUAAGCAAGCUUUGAUCCGGAGAUUUCCGAAUGGGGAAACCCACUGCUCGUAAUGGAGCAGUAUCCAUAUCUGAAUUCAUAGGAUAUGAGAAGGCAGACCCGGGGAACUGAAACAUCUAAGUACCC